GAUGAACGCUGGCGGCGUGCCUAAUACAUGCAAGUCGAGCGAACAGAUGAGGAGCUUGCUCCUCUGACGUUAGCGGCGGACGGGUGAGUAACACGUGGAUAACCUACCCAUAAGACUGGGAUAACUUCGGGAAACCGGAGCUAAUACCGGAUAAUAUAUUGAACCGCAUGGUUCAAUAGUGAAAGACGGUUUUGCUGUCACUUAUAGAUGGAUCCGCGCCGCAUUAGCUAGUUGGUAAGGUAACGGCUUACCAAGGCAACGAUGCGUAGCCGACCUGAGAGGGUGACCGGCCACACUGGAACUGAGACACGGUCCAGACUCCUACGGGAGGCAGCAGUAGGGAAUCUUCCGCAAUGGGCGAAAGCCUGACGGAGCAACGCCGCGUGAGUGAUGAAGGUCUUCGGAUCGUAAAACUCUGUUAUUAGGGAAGAACAAAUGUGUAAGUAACUAUGCACGUCUUGACGGUACCUAAUCAGAAAGCCACGGCUAACUACGUG
rnacentral:rRNA from 1 species